rnacentral:rRNA from 1 species
UACGUAGGGGGCAAGCGUUGUCCGGAUUUAUUGGGCGUAAAGAGCGUGUAGGCGGCCAGGUAGGUCUGCUGUGAAAACUCGAGGCUUAACCUCGAGCUGUCGGCGGAAACCCUCUGGCUAGAGUCCGGAAGAGGAGAAUGGAAUUCCCGGUGUAGCGGUGAAAUGCGCAGAUAUCGGGAAGAACACCUAUGGCGAAGGCAGCUCUCUGGGACGGUACUGACGCUGAGACGCGAAAGCGUGGGGAGCGAACAGG